rnacentral:rRNA from 1 species
AGUGAACGUUGGCGGCGUGGAUUAGGCAUGCAAGUCGAGCGAGAACCGUAGCAAUACGGGGACAGCGGCGAAAGGGACAGUAAUGUGUAGGUACCUACCUCCGGGUUCGGGAUAGCUGCGGGAAACUGCAGGUAAUACCGAAUAACGUCUCCGGACCAAAGGUGUGAUUCCACCUGGAGAGGGGCCUGCAUCCUAUUAGCUUGUUGGCGGGGUAACGGCCCACCAAGGCGACGAGGGGUAGCGGGGGUGAGAGCACGACCCGCGUCAUUGGGACUGAGACACUGGCCAGACACCGACGGGUGGCUGCAGUCGUGGAUCUUCGGCAAUGGGCGCAAGCCUGACCGAGCGACGCCGCGUGCGGGAUGAAGGCCUUCGGGUUGUAAACCGCUGUCGUAGAGGAGGAAAUGCAGGGGGGUUCUCCCCUCUGUUUGACCUAUUCUAGGAGGAAGUACGGGCUAAGUUCGUGCCAGCCGCCGCAGUAA